rnacentral:rRNA from 1 species
GACGAACGCUGGCGGCGUGCUUAACACAUGCAAGUCGAACGAGUGGCGAACGGGUGAGUAAUACGUGGGUAACCUGCCCUCUUUUUGGGAUAAGCCUUGGAAACGGGGUCUAAUCCAGAAGAAAGGGGGAUGGGCUCGUGGCCUAUCAGCUUGUUGGUGGGGUGAUGGCCUACCAAGGAGGUGACGGGUAGCCUGCCUGAGAGGGUGACCGGCCACCUUGGGACUGAGGUACGUCCCAGACUCCUACGUGAGGCAGCAGUGGGGGCUAUUGCACAAUGGGCGAAAGCCUGAUGCAGCGCCGCCGCGUGGGGGAUGAAGGCUUUCGGGUUGUAAACCUCUUUCGCUCUCGAACGUUUAGGUGGAGAAGAAGCGCCGGCUAACUACGUGCCAGCAGCCGCGGUAAUUC